UACGUAGGGAGCAAGCGUUGUUCGGAAUUACUGGGCGUAAAGGGCGCGUAGGUGGCCUUCUAAGUCGAACGUGAAAUCCCUGGGCUCAACCCAGGAACUGCGUCCGAUACUGGAAGGCUUGAAUCCGGGAGAGGGAUGCGGAAUUCCAGGUGUAGCGGUGAAAUGCGUAGAUAUCUGGAGGAACACCGGUGGCGAAGGCGGCAUCCUGGACCGGCAUUGACGCUGAGGCGCGAAAGCUAGGGGAGCAAACGGG
rnacentral:rRNA from 1 species